ensembl:lncRNA
GAGGAGCUGGCUCUGCGCAGCACCACGGACAGCGCCCCGGGCCGGGAUGUCGGGAUGUUGUAGGGGAGCCGAGAGGCAGCGGGCCCGGGGUGCUGCAGAGGAGCUGGGAUACUGCCUGCGGGGCCCGGGCUUCUACCUGAGCGACCCGAGAUGCGGUGGCAAGCUGGUAAAACCUGGAGAAAGUGAGACUCUGCGAGGUCCUCACCGCGUAACUGGGCAUGCCCAGUGUGCAGUGCCGGUCUGGGGAGAAAGGAGUUAACUCCAGGGGAGCUUGCAGAUUAGGUGGCAAAGUCUGAGUCUGUGGCUAUAAAUGAUGGCUUGAGUCCUGUGGACAUUUACAUUCUUGUUCUUGUUAUAUUUCUACCCCGGGUUAGUUUUGGAGAAGAAACAGCAGAUAUUUUUAUUUCAACAUCACAAACCCAAUAGCCUCAGCCUCAGAUGCCAUAAGGACAAACCAAAGACUCCUGACUCUCCCAAAGCAAAUCCAAAAGCAAUGAUAGAGAGGAAAGCAAACACCAGAGAGGAGAGCGCUACAAAAAUGAUUAAUUAACUAAAGAAGCUUGGCAAGUUAAGGAGAACAUGACCCAUGCGGAUCAAAGGAAUAGAACAGAGAAGGCACAUUCAUGCACCUGAUCUUUGACAAAGGGGCCAAAAACAUAUGCAGCAGUAAAGAGAGUCCCUUCAAUAAAUGGUGCUGAGAAAAUAGGCUAUCCACAGGCAGAAGAUUGAAUCUAGACCCAUAUUGCUCACCAUGUAUUAAACUAAAAUGAAAACAGAUCAAAGAUCUAAAUAUUAAAACAGAAACACUUGCCAGGUGUGGUGGCACAGGCUUGUAAUCACAGAACUUGGGAGGUUGAGGCAGGAGGAUUGCUGUGAGUUCAAGGCCAGCCCAAGUUACAUAAUGAGCUCAAGCCCAGCCUGAACUACAAAGUGAGACCAUGUAUUAAAAAAAAAAAAAGGAUUGUAAAACAGAAACACUUAAUCUGCAGGAAGCUAAGGUAGAUAAAACUCUGAAUACUACACCAACUGUGUAAGAAAUAG